UAUGUUACUAUUGGGGUGGAGUGCUUAGAGAGGACAGGUGGAUUGUAUUCAAUGUAAACACUAAGGUUAAAGUUCUGUCAGAGCAAGGAUUUCACGUUGUGUGACAGAACAUUCUCCCCUGCUAAAUCUGUUCUCGGUGUUCCUCCAGCCCCCACAAGCAGAUGGGGACAGUGUGGAGCGCACAUGGGGUGAGGAGGGAGGAAAAUCCCCUUGUGCUAGCACUAAUCCUUACAAAAUGUUAGUUGAAUACCAUGCAGUGUAUAGUGGUUUUGCAAUGUGCUUCAGUGUUGUUAUCCAGUCUCUUGAUGGAAUGUAUGACUCGCCAAAUGUCAUUGGGCUCCAAUUGCCACCAGCCCUGUCUAGCAUGGCUGGUGAUCAAGGAUGAUGGGACUAGCAAUCAACAACCUCUGGAGGGCAAGAUAUUCCCUGGUCUAUAGGAAUAAAUAACCUUGUAGCUAAAUAUCAGCAACUAGAAUGUUCUUAACCAGAUGCAGUUCUGCUUGCUUUUGGUUGCCUGGUGAAGAUAGUGGCUUAGACUGAGUUUAUUUUAAUUAAUGCUGAAUUUGUUAAUUUCAAAUUUUGAUGUAUUGGGUCUAGUUUGGAAUGCUAUUUGUUUUACGAGUGGUAGACUCGUAAUCUGGUGAACCAGGUUCACGUCUCCGCUCCUCCACAUGCAGCUGCUGGGUGACCUUGGGCUAGUGACACUUCUUUGAAGUCUCUCAGCCCCACUCACCAGAGUGUUUGUUGUGGGGGAGGAAGGGAAAGGAGAAUGUUAGCUGCUUUGAGACUCCUUCGGGUAGUGAUAAAGCGGGAUAUCAAAUCCAAACUCUUCUUCUCUUCUUAUGUGGUGUUAUUACUUAUCUGUUAGUCACCUUGAGUUUCCUUGGGAAACAAAGUAGGGUGAAAUUAUUAUUUUUUAAGAAAAUAAAUACAAGUUUCAGCUCUGUGAUUCUGUGAUUCUAAAAGGGAGUCAUGGAGGUCAGAAUGGAACAGAACAUAUAUGCAAAAGCUGAUUUGUAGGACAGCUAAAAGAAAAAUUACAAUUUAAGUAGAUUUGAGCUACGGUUUGAACAUAUACUUGACAAGUUCUAUUUUUGAGAUGGACUACACAUUUAAAAUAAUCAUUUGUUUUUUAAAAAAACAACCAGUGCUGAAUAUUAUGUUUUCCCCAACAGAAAUAAAUUAAAGGAAUCUAAUUGAAGAAAUAUACAACAGUGGUUAAUAUGUUGCUACUUGAAAAAGAGAUGUUGCAACUUAUAAUCUUUUAUGGGUUUAUGUUGUUAAAUGUUUAAUCAGGCAUGUGAAUGUAUUCAGGUGUUAAAACAUUCUAUUAGCUAUGAAAAUUGCACUAUUAUUUACUGAGCUGUUUGUGAUACAUUGUUGGCGGCUUUUAGCUCUCUAUAGUCCCUGUUUAAUUCUCCCUUUAACUAACUAACUAACUAACUAACUAACUAACUAACUUUCUUUCUCUUUCUUUCUGAAAGACUUAAGAGAGGAAAAACUAGAAUAGAUGAGCUCGGUCAAGAAAUAUUUUUUCAAUUACAAAUUAAUUUUAUUUCUCUCUUUUUUUUUAGAAAGAGGAAAAGGAAAAACAAAUGUGCUAUACUGUUAAUACCUGUUUUAAGCACAGGGCCAUAAGUACUAAGGCAAGGACGUCACCCAUCACAAUGUUAUGGUCCUUGGAUCAACCCCCUUUUAGGUAUGGGGAACCCACAUCCUUCCAGCUUUUGUUGGGACUUCAACUCUCACCAGGUCCAGCAUCCCAUUAGUUAGCUUCUGUGUGGCAAAGCUGGGCUGCACAGAGAGAGAUAGAUAUAACUUUAUUUGCAUCAGCCGAUGGCCAUAGCAAUGAUAAAACAUUACAAUAUACACAGAAAAAAAGGAAAUUUAGUAUAAAAGCACAGUUUACGGUCCUGAAUCAACAGUCAGAUAGUGGCCCUUAUUCUGAUCGCCCCUGUCAAGAACCUAGCAGCCUUUGCUGUUAUCUGCUCCAUUUGGUCUGACAGGAGAAAGGACACUGUGGCAGUGGUUGUGCAUCCUGGCGUGGUCAGUAUGAGUAGGGUGAUGAUCUCGUUCCUCAGAUCUUUGUAGAGAGUACAAGAGAGGAGGACGUGAGCCACUGUUUCGGUGCUACCGUCUCCACAGGGGCAAAGGCGUUCCUCAUGCAGGAUCUUUUGGAAUCAAGUACCGCAGAUGGCAAGACAUUCAGUCUUGUGAGUGUGAAAGCACGUCUGUAUUUUGGGAUAGCUAGUUUGUGCAGGUAUGGAACCAGAGAAUCAAAAUGGAAAGAUGGAAAUUGAUCAUACCAUGGGCAGAAUUUCCGUAUAGUGGCCCGGUUGUUCUGAUGCUCGAUACCUUUUAGACAUUGGCCAAUUAGACUGUAUGCUUUGGUAAGGCCCAUAGUGAGUAGGUCUUGUGGGAAUAGCCCUCAAGAGUGGAGUUUUUGGUGGACAGUUUUAAGCCAGGCACUUUUGUGGUAGUCUUGAAGUACUAGGGAUAAUAAACCAGGGGGAUUUGAGUUUAGGUCGAGCCAGAAGUUAAAAGUUCUUUGCCAAAUCCGUACUGAGGGGAGAGUUGCCUCUAGGUGCAAUGAUGCGUUUGGGGCACAGGGCUUAAGAACUUUGAUUGAACAGCUUCCCAAGUGUCAAGGUGGUUACCAGUGCUGGCUUAGUUGGAGUGGUCUUGGAGAUUUUUGCAUGCAGAUCAGUGGAAAACAUGGGUUAAAGGGGCAAACCACAUUGCUAACAUGUUUAACAAAGCCCCUGUGCUUUUUAAACAGCAAAGCUGUUUCACAAGGAAGGCAUUCAAAGCAGGCAGGCGGGAGGGAAAUGUGCAGAGUGUUUAACUCACAGGUACAGAUUUUUAAACUUGUGAGCAGAGGUUUUGGAGUUGCCUAGAACAGGGAAAUGGGAGGCAGAGAAAUGAUUAUUAAUCCACCAUCACUUUUCCAGUCCAAAUUGCCUCUCUCUAAAGCAGCUUUUUAAAAUUUUUGCACCUCCAUUCACAUAUUAAUCUCCAUAUCAGAAGAAAUAACAGUAAAGGUGUGCUUUCUCCUUUUGCUUUCCUAUUCCCUUUAGCUUAGGGCCGUAAAUUCCCACUGUUCUUUUGUAGACAGUAGAAUAACUAUUUUAGUCUAUUUAAAAAAAUAUUUGUUCUCUUUUUAAAAUUUUCACUCCAAAUAGGGAAAAAAAGAGAGGUUUAAUUUUAGUUUUCUGUCAUUGUAAAACAGUUCUUAGCAUCUUUAUUUAACUUUGGUAAAGAACCCUUUAUAAUCAAUAUUAUUUUUUUCAGAUUACAGUAAUAUUUAUAUGAAAAGAGCAUGAUAAAUACUAUAAUUCAAUUUUAUUCGGAGUAUAAGACUCCAUAAUGUUCUAUUGUAUGCAGUUUGAUUCUUCAAGGAAUAGCCUCUACAGUUUAACUUAUAGUUUACUAUAUAUGCAAGAAGGGUAGAGAGAAACAACUCUGUAUGUAUACUGGGGUGGCACACACAUAAACACACACACACACACAGGCAAAUUACAUGUCAUGCUGUGAUUUGUUGAAGUGGUGUACUUGUAUAAAUGUAUCCUUAGAUGGUACAUAGAAAAGGCUUAGUAAUUCAUUGGCCAAUACUAAUUAAUCCAGAGUAAAGUACCUGUGAUUUUGGAUUGGAUUAUGGCCCUUUCUCUUAACCAGACUUUACCGAAUCCUCAGUUUAAUAAAAUAAAAUUGUAGGAAAAAAGGACUGUUUAAACUCAGGUAUGAACUCUGCCUUACCCCAGUUAGACCUGUAUUUACUCGUUUCAAACUCGGCCAAGAAAUUACUAUCUUUGCAUAUGAGGAUCAGGUCAGAUCAAAGGCAUUGUGUACCAUAUCCUGCCUUGUCCUUUAUAUAGCUCUCUUCAGGACAGAAUCUUCAUUUCAUAAAUUUCCAGAAGGUCAACCAAAUAAUUUCAAAAUUUGAUGGUUGCUGGCUGAUGUGAACUGGCAGCAAGAAAUUCACAGGCUACUUUUUUUUAAUCCAAAACAUUCAAAUGAUUUGGGGAAAGUUAUUCCUUGUUUGACUAACUUUUAAGUUUUGAUCAUUUGCAAUUCUGAACUUUGAUAUGUUUCAACUUACUCAUGGAUUGGAGAUUUUCUUUUUUUGGUGAUUUAUACUAUAAUGGACAUUGGUUGCAAACGAUAAAAAUCCAACUGACUACUAGGCAGUAAGCAAAUAUUUUAAAUGACCUAAGAUAGAUCACAAGUUAUUUUUGAGACUACAGAAUUCACUUUGACAAGAGAAAUAAUUUUGGUGCCUUUUUAAUUCAAUUGUAAACAUUAACAUUUCUCCCGAUGACCGCUCAAUGUGAUGUCAGAUAGAAAUAAGUGUAUAUGGCAUAUAAUCAAAAAUCAGGGGCAAGGGGUAAAACUGGAGAACAGGGAGCAUGAAUGGUGUGGUAUGUGCAGCAUGUACACACACAAAAAGGGGAGAGUGUUAGAUCAUGACAAAGAAGAGAAAAUUGGUCCUACACCCUAUAGUUAAUGUGACAACACGUAGUUAAUGUGUACUUAAUGACUCAGAGUCUUUUGGCUCAUUUUUCUCACCAUUUGAAGAUGUCACUUGUUUUAUACAUAGCCGUGUAGCCUAAGAUUAACUUCAUUCCGAAAUGGAUGCAGACUACAAAUCAUAGGUCUUUAGAGGAGAAAAGAGUGAGAUGGGAGACAUAUAGAUUAAAUAUAUGUACAUUGCACAUGUACAUUGCACACUAUAUAAUUAGGCUCUCAAGAGACGGGAUGUUUGAUGGGAAUGUUUGGGAGCUAAGUUCUUUAGGGCUGUAUUUGCCUGGGUCUGAGCACUUGACAUUCCUUCCUACUGAGCUGAAGCUAUUCAACUCCUACCUGGCUCAAACAGAGGCUUCGUGGGCCACUUGUUUGAAUCCACCAGCGGUGACUAUCUUGCUCAGGAUUUGUUUGCAAUUUGUUUAAUAGUUGAAGCUCUGUUUUCAGUACCUGCAAGUGACCCAGUUUCACUAAAUCCAACUUCUCAAGCCCCUCAUGUAAAAUCGUAUGCAAAAAGUAAGAGUGGAAUGGACAAAAAAAGAGAUGAAAACCUUUCUUCCUCUUGAGGUUGGACAUUCUAGGCCCCCUCCCCACUCCCUAAAUGCCUAAAAGUGCCUCUGAACUGUUCAUCACAAUGCAAAGCUCAGUUGGGGGGGGGUGACACUAAAGGCAAAAGUCACAGGAGCUGCAUCCUUUCUCACUGCUUCAGAACAUUUUAAAAAAAUGCAAACGCAACACGCUGGCUAAUAACUUAGUAAAUAUAUAAGCGGUAUAAUGUCAUUCAAAAUAUGAGAAUAAGCCACUUCAAAACAAUAUAUAUAUCAUACAACACAUCUCACAAAAUAUACAAGUAACUGCAAGUUGUUAUAUGUAUCAGAGUCAAACAAAGAUACAAACAACCAGUGUAUUUGUUCUGAACAUUUAAAGGUACAGGCAGGAUAUGUGGCAAUCCUAACCUUCACACCCCACUUUAUGCUAACAGUACUUUGAUGAACAUUAACAGCAGAAUCAUCUAGGAAUUAAUUCCCACUAUGGUCAGUGGAGCUUACUCCAUAGUAGGUAUAUUCCAGGUUGCAGCUUAAAUAAAUACGUAGCUCAAUGCUUUGCCUGUUGAAGUAAUGUGGGCUUUCUGUUCCUAUAUUUUAUUUUAAAAGAUUGCACUUGCACAAUUCACCCUUUUUUUUUUUUUAAAAAAAAAAAGGCAAUCAGGAAGUAAACUUCCUAUCUCUCUCUCUCUCUUUCUGUGUGUGUGUGUGUGUAUAAUUUGUCCAAACUAAGUUCAAGGCAGGGCUGAGAUUUUGGCCCUAAACUAAUCUCCCUUGGAAUCCUUUUCCCUCUCAAAAAUCACCUCUCUCUUUGACCCAAUAUUUGCUGCCUGCUGUGCCAUAUGUUGUCCUGCUUUGAAUUGUUCCUCUUCCCCCUCCAUCUUCCAGACUGCUCAUAUUUGCAAAGACAAAAGGAAGAACAAAUUU